UUGCUCUAGAGACUGAAGUCUCCUACCUACCCACAGAAUAGGUCCAGCGCAGACAGCAGCAGUACAAGUUUUCUCUUCUCUGCCACCUGAGCAAUGUGUCUCGAUCCUGCCUAGGACCACCUCUCUGGCUGACAGGGGAGUUCCAUUUCCAUGUCUGCUCUGCUGAAGCUGCC
ensembl:misc_RNA